GUGUUGUAUGAAAGGAGAAAAGGUUAGCACUCCCUUUACAAGGAUAGAAGAGGUCCUUGGGCCUAACAACACGCAUACAGUUUUAAAAAACACAAGUUUUU
rnacentral:ncRNA from 1 species